AUUGAACGCUGGCGGCAGGCCUAACACAUGCAAGUCGAGCGGGGUUUUCGGACCUAGCGGCGGACGGGUGAGUAAUGCGUAGGAAGCUACCCGAUAGAGGGGGAUACCAGUUGGAAACGACUGUUAAUACCGCAUAAUGUCUACGGACCAAAGUGUGGGACCUUCGGGCCACAUGCUAUCGGAUGCGCCUACGUGGGAUUAGCUAGUUGGUGAGGUAAUGGCUCACCAAGGCGACGAUCCCUAGCUGGUUUGAGAGGAUGAUCAGCCACACUGGAACUGAGACACGGUCCAGACUCCUACGGGAGGCAGCAGUGGGGAAUAUUGGACAAUGGGCGCAAGCCUGAUCCAGCCAUGCCGCGUGUGUGAAGAAGGCCUUCGGGUUGUAAAGCACUUUCAGUAGGGAGGAAGCGUUGUGUGUUAAUAGUACACAGCGUUGACGUUACCUACAGAAGAAGCACCGGCUAACUCUGUGCCAGCAGCCGCCGUAAAAC
rnacentral:rRNA from 1 species